AAAAGUAUGACCUGAAAACUGGUGAGCUGUUUGAGGAAAGCACUGGACUGUUCUUACAAAGCUGAUAAUUUUUGGAGCGUUCAAAGGCAGACCACCCUGGUUUACAUUUGCUAUUGUCAAAGGCAGACCAUGCUAUGGGCAGAGCGGAGCAAGACAAACACAGAGUGCGUCUGACAGUCCCCUUCAAAAAGACUAACAGAAAAACCACAGCAUCUACAGGGAACUUUUCCAAACACAGGAACAGAGGCAUGCUGGGAAGAGAAGAGCCUUAAUAUAAUAGGAGGGAACACAGAUGAUGGGAGAAUAGAAAGCUGCUGUUCUGCAAGGAGCAGUGUUGGAGGUUGUGUCCAGGCCAGGACCCAAGUGCAUGGCAAUAGUUCACUGAGGCUCUGCUAGCAAGCCUGGGAAUGACUCUGAUGCCCUCUGUGCCACGCUGCAGGUCCAGGCAGAAGGCUGCACCUUUGAGCUUUCUCAACAGGAGCGCUGCUUGCUGUUACCUCGGCUGCUGUGUCCUUAAGCCACAAACCAAAACAUUGCCAGAGUCUGGCAUCCUUCUCUAAGGUCUCCCGAGCCAUGGCUGUGAUGGCAGGACCAUUGCUUGGUGGUACCAAGCUGAAGAAAAGCUACCACUCAUCUCACUGUACAGACACAUCAGACUUUGGCUACGAACAGCAAUGACUAUCUCCAUGGCCCCACGGAGAAACGCUUAGAUAAAUAUCAUUCAAAUCAAGGAGUCUGAUGCAUGAGUCAGGACAAUGGCAGCCCUCCAAAACCUCCUUGCCCGUGGAGAGUGUGUUUGUGUGAGAAAGAUAGUUUCACUGUAUAAAGAGUAAGAAACUGGAAGCCAAGUGAAUUAAAUACAAAGCAGAUAAUUAUGUGUAAUUCAUUUACUGACUAAUGAUUGCACCUGGUAUGGGGGUUUAUGAAUUCAUUUAACUCUGCAUAGGUUCUCAGAAACAAUCUCCCUGCUACAAGAUAAAAACUAGGCUGAC